rnacentral:lncRNA from 1 species
CAACGCGGGGCUCGGUGCUGACCUCGGUGCUGGCCCAGGGCUUCGGAUGUACUUAAUACCUUGUAGGAUAAGCUCACUGAUGAAAAUGAGCAGUUAGUCAAGAAGGUGAAAAAACUACAUAUAAAAAAUAAGGAGCUAGAAAAGAAUCUGGGUCAGAUUCAAGAUCAACUGCAUCUGCAGCAGUUAAUGCAUGUCUGUGGCACAAGCAGAGAGUAAGAAUUGUCAAACAUUUCUUUUACAUCAAAAGAAGUGCAGCAUUUUAAGACUUUUGUUCCCAUGUCCUUAAGAAGAGCUAGGCAUUAUCUUGUCUGUAUAUUUUAAGGAGUCAUGGGUGAACAGGAUGGUGGGGUGGAAAAUGUUGGCGGCCUGUAAAGAACAAAGGGUGUCUGGGGCAUCUUGUACAAAAUGUAUUGCAGUGAAAGAAACAGUUUUAAUAACAAAAAGGUAUACUCCUGCUUAGCCAAUAUGCUCUCUCUGUCAAACUGUGAAGGCUUUCACACUAUUUUUCUACCAAAAAGUAGUGAGAUAAAGAUAAGUUGAGGAGCAUCAAUGCUGCUUAAAAGAUUUAGAACAUAAGGACCUGAAAAACUGAAGUGCUAGUGGUUUGGAGAGUGUCCUGCCAGGAUUUACGUAUCGGUUCACAAAAAUCUUCCAAGGCUUAAGUUUUGGUGUGUUUAUGAUCCUGCCUGGAAACCUCUACGAUAAAAUCAAACUGAAAAGUUACUUGGUCUUUUUCUGUUGCUUUGUUUAAUUAAUUAAAUUUGUGAAAUAUGAUUUUAUGAAGCUAUUGUGUUUGUUUCAAUUAAGUGUUCAAGUUCAGACAGAAACCCAUUUAUGGCAUAAGGGUGGAGGCAGCAAGGAUCUGGUUCUAGAGAGUGACAGUGUCAGACUACUUCAGAUGUUUAAUGAGCUACAGAAACGUUAUGUUAAAGAAACCAAAAUAAACAAGGAGCAAAGUGAAGCAAUUAAAAAUCUCACUAUUAAAAUUAAUGAGCUAGAGCAUAAUCUUCAAGAGCAAAAGCAAAAAAUUGAGAAACUGGAACAUAAAAAGGUUUCUUGGAAAACUAAUGCUGUUUCUGGAAAACGAAGUCAAACCCCAGAGGGAGGAGUAAUUUCUCACAGGGACAUUUCUGCAAAGGAGUCCUGUUGCAGUAGAUAUUUAGAGCUAUUGUUGAAGGAGAUUAAAAAGCUGAAGAAAGAAAAUGGAAAGUUGUCUGCAGAAAAGAGAGCACUAAAAAAUGAAUUAGCUGGAUUAGACAAGGAUUUUUUUGAAGAGGUGGAAGAUUUAAAACAUGCUGUACAGGAAUCUAUGAAACUGAACAAUGAGUAUGAAAAGUGCUUGAAACAAAUAAGUGUAAUAUAUGGACUUCCUUUUACAGCACAUUUGUAACUACCGGCUAAUUUAAUGCCAGGUAGAUUUUUCCACAUAUUUUUUAUACUUACUGCAACAUUUAAACCUACCAUUGCUUAAGUGGUAAAAACCACAGUUUGAUAAUAUAGAUUCAGUAAUGUGAUCUCAAUAUAACAAGUGCUUGGAAAUGUUGUAUUUUGUGACCUUGAUUUUUUUUUUUUUUGUUUAUAUAUUUUUAAAUAAACUGUGAUCUGCAUAACUUCA